rnacentral:rRNA from 1 species
GACGAACGCUGGCGGCGUGCCUAAUACAUGCAAGUUGAGCGCUGAAGGUUGGUACUUGUACCAACUGGAUGAGCAGCGAACGGGUGAGUACCGCGUGGGGAAUCUCCCUUUGAGCGGGGGAAACCAUUUGGAAACGAAUGCUAAUCCCGCAUAAAAACUUUAAACACAAUUUUUAGGUUUAAAAGUUGCAAUUGCAUCAUUCAAGGAUGAUCCCGCGUUGUAUUAGCUAGUUGGUGAGGUAAAGGCUCACCAAGGCGAUGAUCCAUAGCCGACCUGAGAGGGUGAUCGGCCACAUUGGGACUGAGACACGGCCCAAACUCCUACGGGAGGCAGCAGUAGGGAAUCGUCGGCAAUGGACGAAAGUCUGACCGAGCAACGCCGCGUGAGUGAAGAAGGUUGUCGGAUCGUAAAACUCUGUUGGUAGAGAAGAACGUUGGUGAGAGUGGAAAGCUCAUCAAGUGACGGUAACUACCCAGAAAGGGACGGCUAACUACGUG